AACGAACGCUGGCGGCAGGCUUAACACAUGCAAGUCGAACGCCCCGCAAGGGGAGUGGCAGACGGGUGAGUAACGCGUGGGAAUCUACCCAGAACUUCGGAACAACUGAGGGAAACUUCAGCUAAUACCGGAUACGCCCUACGGGGGAAAGAUUUAUCGGUUUUGGAUGAGCCCGCGUUGGAUUAGCUAGUUGGUGGGGUAAUGGCCUACCAAGGCGACGAUCCAUAGCUGGUCUGAGAGGAUGAUCAGCCACACUGGGACUGAGACACGGCCCAGACUCCUACGGGAGGCAGCAGUGGGGAAUAUUGGACAAUGGGCGAAAGCCUGAUCCAGCCAUGCCGCGUGAGUGAUGAAGGCCUUAGGGUUGUAAAGCUCUUUCAGUAGGGAAGAUAAUGACGGUACCUACAGAAGAAGCCCCGGCUAACUUCGUGCCAGCCGCCGCGGUAAGAC
rnacentral:rRNA from 1 species